GCCAGUUCCCCAGCUCCAGCCGCCGUCGCUGCUGCCUGUGUAGUUGCAGCCGCGGCCGCCUCCCGCCAGCUCGCCUCGGGGAACAGGACGCGCGUGAGCUCAGGCGUCCCCGCCCCAGCUUUUCUCGGAACCAUGAACCCCAACUGCGCCCGGUGCGGCAAGAUCGUGUAUCCCACGGAGAAGGUGAACUGUCUGGAUAAGUUCUGGCAUAAAGCAUGCUUCCAUUGCGAGACCUGCAAGAUGACACUGAACAUGAAGAACUACAAGGGCUACGAGAAGAAGCCCUACUGCAACGCACACUACCCCAAGCAGUCCUUCACCAUGGUGGCGGACACCCCGGAAAACCUUCGCCUCAAGCAACAGAGUGAGCUCCAGAGUCAGAUGAAGAAACCGAGGCCAGGGGCUUGAGAUGCAGGGCUUCUGUAUCUGGAGCUACAUUUCUCUGCCUCUGAGUGCCCUACCUUCCCCGAUGCCCGCUUCCCAAAGGGCCUCCCACUAAGAGUCACCGUGCUGGCCCAGGGCUUCCAGGACUGAGGAAGAGCUGGUGCUAGGUGCGCUACAAGGAGGAGUUUGAGAAGAACAAGGGCAAAGGUUUCAGCGUAGUGGCAGACACGCCCGAGCUCCAGAGAAUCAAGAAGACCCAGGACCAGAUCAGUAACAUAAAAUACCAUGAGGAGUUUGAGAAGAGCCGCAUGGGCCCUAGCGGGGGCGAGGGCAUGGAGCCAGAGCGUCGGGAUUCACAGGACGGCAGCAGCUACCGGCGGCCCCUGGAGCAGCAGCAGCCUCACCACAUCCCGACCAGUGCCCCGGUUUACCAGCAGCCCCAGCAGCAGCCGGUGGCCCAGUCCUAUGGUGGCUACAAGGAGCCUGCAGCCCCAGUCUCCAUACAGCGCAGCGCCCCAGGUGGUGGCGGGAAGCGGUACCGCGCGGUGUAUGACUACAGCGCCGCCGACGAGGACGAGGUCUCCUUCCAGGACGGGGACACCAUCGUCAACGUGCAGCAGAUCGACGACGGCUGGAUGUACGGGACGGUGGAGCGCACCGGCGACACGGGGAUGCUGCCGGCCAACUACGUGGAGGCCAUCUGAACCCGCAGCGCCCCCAUCUGUCUUCAGCACAUUCCACGGCAUCGCAUCCGUCCUGGGCGUGACCCGUCCAUUCUUCAGUGUCUCUGUUUUUUAAAACCUGCGACAGCUUGUGAUUCCUACCCCUCUUCCAGCUUCUUUUGCCAACUGAAGCCUUCUUCUGCCACUUCUGCGGGCUCCCUCCUCUGGCAGGCUUCCCCCUUGAUCGACUUCUUGGUUUUCUCUCUGGAUGGAACGGGCAUGGGCCUCUCUGGGGGAGGCAGGGCUGGAAUGGGAGACCUGUUGGCCUGUGGGCCUCACCUGCCCCUCUGUUCUCUCCCCUCACAUCCUCCUGCCCAGCUCCUCACAUACCCACACAUUCCAGGGCUGGGGUGAGCCUGACUGCCAGGACCCCAGGUCAGGGGCUCCCUACAUUCCCCAGAGUGGGAUCCACUUCUUGGUUCCUGGGAUGGCGAUGGGGACUCUGCCGCUGUGUAGGGACCAGUGGGAUGGGCUCUACCUCUCUUUCUCAAAGAGGGGGCUCUGCCCACCUGGGGUCUCUCUCCCUACCUCCCUCCUCAGGGGCAACAACAGGAGAAUGGGGUUCCUGCUGUGGGGCGAAUUCAUCCCCUCCCCGCGCGUUCCUUCGCACACUGUGAUUUUGCCCUCCUGCCCACGCAGACCUGCAGCGGGCAAAGAGCUCCCGAGGAAGCACAGCUUGGGUCAGGUUCUUGCCUUUCUUAAUUUUAGGGACAGCUACCGGAAGGAGGGGAACAAGGAGUUCUCUUCCGCAGCCCCUUUCCCCACGCCCACCCCCAGUCUCCAGGGACCCUUGCCUGCCUCCUAGGCUGGAAGCCAUGGUCCCGAAGUGUAGGGCAAGGGUGCCUCAGGACCUUUUGGUCUUCAGCCUCCCUCAGCCCCCAGGAUCUGGGUUAGGUGGCCGCUCCUCCCUGCUCCUCAUGGGAAGAUGUCUCAGAGCCUUCCAUGACCUCCCCUCCCCAGCCCAAUGCCAAGUGGACUUGGAGCUGCACAAAGUCAGCAGGGACCACUAAAUCUCCAAGACCUGGUGUGCGGAGGCAGGAGCAUGUAUGUCUGCAGGUGUCUGACACGCAAGUGUGUGAGUGUGAGUGUGAGAGAUGGGGCGGGGGUGUGUCUGUAGGUGUCUCUGGGCCUGUGUGUGGGUGGGGUUAUGUGAGGGUAUGAAGAGCUGUCUUCCCCUGAGAGUUUCCUCAGAACCCACAGUGAGAGGGGAGGGCUCCUGGGGCAGAGAAGUUCCUUAGGUUUUCUUUGGAAUGAAAUUCCUCCUUCCCCCCAUCUCUGAGUGGAGGAAGCCCACCAAUCUGCCCUUUGCAGUGUGCAGGGUGGAAGGUAAGAGGUUGGUGUGGAGUUGGGGCUGCCAUAGGGUCUGCAGCCUGCUGGGGCUAAGCGGUGGAGGAAGGCUCUGUCACUCCAGGCAUAUGUUUCCCCAUCUCUGUCUGGGGCUACAGAAUAGGGUGGCAGAAGUGUCACCCUGUGGGUGUCUCCCUCGGGGGCUCUUCCCCUAGACCUCCCCCUCACUUACAUAAAGCUCCCUUGAAGCAAGAAAGAGGGUCCCAGGGCUGCAAAACUGGAAGCACAGCCUCGGGGAUGGGGAGGGAAAGACGGUGCUAUAUCCAGUUCCUGCUCUCUGCUCAUGGGUGGCUGUGACAACCCUGGCCUCACUUGAUUCAUCUCUGGUUUUCUUGCCACCCUCUGGGAGUCCCCAUCCCAUUUUCAUCCUGAGCCCAACCAGGCCCUGCCAUUGGCCUCUUGUCCCUUGGCACACUUGUACCCACAGGUGAGGGGCAGGACCUGAAGGUAUUGGCCUGUUCAACAAUCAGUCAUCAUGGGUGUUUUUGUCAACUGCUUGUUAAUUGAUUUGGGGAUGUUUGCCCCGAAUGAGAGGUUGAGGAAAAGACUGUGGGUGGGGAGGCCCUGCCUGACCCAUCCCUUUUCCUUUCUGGCCCCAGCCUAGGUGGAGGCAAGUGGAAUAUCUUAUAUUGGGCGAUUUGGGGGCUCGGGGAGGCAGAGAAUCUCUUGGGAGUCUUGGGUGGCGCUGGUGCAUUCUGUUUCCUCUUGAUCUCAAAGCACAAUGUGGAUUUGGGGACCAAAGGUCAGGGACACAUCCCCUUAGAGGACCUGAGUUUGGGAGAGUGGUGAGUGGAAGGGAGGAGCAGCAAGAAGCAGCCUGUUUUCACUCAGCUUAAUUCUCCUUCCCAGAUAAGGCAAGCCAGUCAUGGAAUCUUGCUGCAGGCCCUCCCUCUACUCUUCCUGUCCUAAAAAUAGGGGCCGUUUUCUUACACACCCCCAGAGAGAGGAGGGACUGUCACACUGGUGCUGAGUGACCGGGGGCUGCUGGGCGUCUGUUCUUUACCAAAACCAUCCAUCCCUAGAAGAGCACAGAGCCCUGAGGGGCUGGGCUGGGCUGGGCUGAGCCCCUGGUCUUCUCUACAGUUCACAGAGGUCUUUCAGCUCAUUUAAUCCCAGGAAAGAGGCAUCAAAGCUAGAAUGUGAAUAUAACUUUUGUGGACCAAUACUAAGAAUAACAAGAAGCCCAGUGGUGAGGAAAGUGCGUUCUCCCAGCACUGCCUCCUGUUUUCUCCCUCUCAUGUCCCUCCAGGGAAAAUGACUUUAUUGCUUAAUUUCUGCCUUUCCCCCCUCACACAUGCACUUUUGGGCCUUUUUUUAUAGCUGGAAAAAACAAAAUACCACCCUACAAACCUGUAUUUAAAAAGAAACAGAAAUGACCACGUGAAAUUUGCCUCUGUCCAAACAUUUCAUCCGUGUGUAUGUGUAUGUGUGUGAGUGUGUGAAGCCGCCAGUUCAUCUUUUUAUAUGGGGUUGUUGUCUCAUUUUGGUCUGUUUUGGUCCCCUCCCUCGUGGGCUUGUGCUCGGGAUCAAACCUUUCUGGCCUGUUAUGAUUCUGAACAUUUGACUUGAACCACAAGUGAAUCUUUCUCCUGGUGACUCAAAUAAAAGUAUAAUUUUUACCUGCGGA